UUGACAUAGAUGUCUCCAGAUGUUUGAGUUAGGUCCUCACUCUAGUGCUGGUAUGUGAUUCCUUAUAGACAAAUGUCUGUGCUAUAUUCUAAGUAUGCUUGAAGGCAUGCAUUUUUGUGUGUGUCUAGGCUAUAUGUGAGUGUGUUUCUUUUCAUAUUUAAAUAUGCAUUCUUCAUCUGUGUGUUAGUUCAAGCAAAUACACAAGACUCCAAGGAGGAAAAUCAAAAUAGGACUGGAAUAUUUCCUGGAUCCAAGGCUGUCACUGGUCUUCUUCCUAUCAGUCCCCUCUCCCAGCUGGGAAUUCUGAAAAUUGCAGAUGAAGAAACUGAGGUCCAAAGGUGAAUUGUCCACUUGGAAGGAAACUAGGAUGUGAACCCAAGUUGGCCUGAUUCUCAGGGCUGCAUUCUUUCCACCAAGUAACAGCUAUUCACCAGGGGUAUUCAGAGGACUGAUUGGAGAAAAAUUCAGACAAGGCUUUCUCAACAGCUUCAAAUGGAAAACUUUGAAGUGAGCUUUUAAAGAACUGAAAACUCAGCCCGAUUCCCCGAAGUCCCGUGGGCAGCCUUGCCACUGUAACCACUCUGGGUGGAACUCAUUAGUGCAGGCUGUUCUCACCAGCGCCACGCAGGUCGGCCACGCCAGGGCUGCCCGGCUUUGAGCCCUCCCGGCGCCCUGGCAGGGAUGCGCAGGCAUGCGCGAGGCUGCGGGGACCCGCGAGCUCGCAGGGUCGAGGCGGCCCGCGGGGGUCAAAGCGGCCCGCGGGGCCCCGGCUGGCGCGGAGCCUAUUGUGCAGCCGGCGCCAAUGAGCAAAUUACAUCUGAACCGCCUUUCAAGUCGACGGCCGCUUUCAAAAUGGGGCUUUGAAAGGCUGCGCUCCCCUGGCUCUGCAGUGGAGAGAACGGAACUCGGCUUUGCAGGGAGGCCGUGCCGGCUCACACGUGCCCGCCUCUGCGGCGCUCGCCUGCGUUUAUAGCGAGAA